CCUGUGCCAGUGAUGGUGUUAAAUAUACUCUGAGAUUUAUUGUCUAUGAAAAGAAUUUUGAUCUGAGGCAUUUA
rnacentral:snoRNA from 1 species